rnacentral:rRNA from 1 species
CUGGCAAAUGAAUUUUAGUCAGAACCCCCGAAACUAAGUGAGCUACUUCGAAAUAGUUACUGAACAAACCCGUCUCUGUUGCAAUAGAGUGGGAAAAUUUCCAAGUAGAGGCGAUAAACCUACCGCACUUAGAGAUAGCUGGUUGCCCAAGAAAAGAAUCUUAGUUCUACCUCAAGCCUCUCAAUUAUGCAAUAAAUCUUUAAGGCUUAAGAGCUAUUCAAAUAAGGCACAGCUUAUUUGAAACAGGAGACAACCUACAACAUAGGGUAAUACACCAAACAGGUAGCAAGUGGGCCUAAGAGCAGCCACCUCCUAAAAAGCGUUAAAGCUUCAUACCUAUUUAUUCUCAAUACCUUGAUACAUCUUCAACCCUUCAUCUAUAUUGAGCAACUCCAUAAACAUAUGGAUGAUAUAAUGCUAGAACUAGUAACAAGAAACAAACUUUCUCCGUAAUGUAAGCUUAAGCCAGAGUAGAUAAUCUACUGGCAAUUAACGCAAAUGAAAAUACUAUACUAACACUACAAGAAAACCCUAUACUUAUUAUCGUUAAUCUUACACCAGAACAUUAACGGAAAGAUUAAAAGAAAAAGAAGGAACUCGGCAAAACCUAACCC